rnacentral:rRNA from 1 species
GAUGAACGCUGGCGGCGUGCCUAAUGCAUGCAAGUCGAGCGAACAGACGAGGAGCUUGCUCCUCUGACGUUAGCGGCGGACGGGUGAGUAACACGUGGAUAACCUACCUAUAAGACUGGGAUAACUUCGGGAAACCGGAGCUAAUACCGGAUAAUAUAUUGAACCGCAUGGUUCAAUAGUGAAAGACGGUUUUGCUGUCACUUAUAGAUGGAUCCGCGCCGCAUUAGCUAGUUGGUAAGGUAACGGCUUACCAAGGCAACGUUGCGUAGCCGACCUGAGAGGGUGAUCGGCCACACUGGAACUGAGACACGGUCCAGACUCCUACGGGAGGCAGCAGUAGGGAAUCUUCCGCAAUGGGCGAAAGCUUGACGGAGCAACGCCGCGUGAGUGAUGAAGGUCUUCGGAUCGUAAAACUCUGUUAUUAGGGAAGAACAAAUGUGUAAGUAACUAUGCACGUCUUGACGGUACCUAAUCAGAAAGCCACGGCUAACUACGUG